rnacentral:misc_RNA from 1 species
UUGAAUGAAUCUAGAGUUGGUUGUUGCUGGCUUCUUGAGGCAUGUGCACACCUUCUCUUUCAUCCACACACACCCCUGUGCACUUGUCAGAUUGGAGGGCUGGAAUUUAUUUAUUUAUUUAUUUAUUUUCUAACCUUCCAUCUGCUAUUACACAAACUCAAUUUAAUUUAAACUGAAUGUAAUUGAUGUAACACAUCUAAUAC